UACGUAGGGUGCGAGCGUUGUCCAGAAUUAUUGGGCGUAAAGAGCUCGUAGGCGGUCUGUCACGUCGGCUGUGAAAACCCGAGGCUCAACCUCGGGCCUGCAGUCGAUACGGGCAGACUAGAGUUCGGUAGGGGAGACUGGAAUUCCUGGUGUAGCGGUGAAAUGCGCAGAUAUCAGGAGGAACACCGGUGGCGAAGGCGGGUCUCUGGGCCGAAACUGACGCUGAGGAGCGAAAGCGUGGGGAGCGAACAGG
rnacentral:rRNA from 1 species